GGGGUCGUUACGGAUUCGACAGGCAUUAUGAGGCAUAUUUUGCAACUCGCGUGACGGCGUUAACGUUCAGUUAAAUAUAACUGCAAAAAAUACAAACUCUUACGCUCUCGCUGCCUAAACACCAGCAAGCGUGACUUCUAUGAGAUUGCUUGUGUCCCAUUAGAAGUCUUAAAACAGCAAGCUACGUUUAACUAUUGUCUAGCUGGUUAAAAAGAGAUUGAUAGACUCGCAAGAUUUGGGUUUGAGCUAUGUAUCGAAAUCUUGUUAAAUGAAGACAUAGCCUAUGGUUGUAGACGAAUGUGUUGGCAGGUGUUUGGACGUGGGUUCGACUCCCACCGGCUCCAUAU
rnacentral:tmRNA from 1 species